CGGAGGGUGCGAGCGUUAAUCGGAAUUACUGGGCGUAAAGCGUGCGUAGACGGUUAUUUAAGUCGGGUGUGAAAGCCCCGGGCUCAACCUGGGAAUUGCAUUCGAGACUGAAUAGCUAGGGUACGGUAGAGGGAAGUGGAAUUUCCGGUGUAGCGGUGAAAUGCGUAGAUAUCGGAAGGAACAUCAGUGGCGAAAGCGACUUCCUGGACCAGUACCGGCGUUCAGGCACGAAAGCGUGGGGAGCAAACAGGAUUAGAUACCCUGGUAGUCCACGCCAUAAACGAUGAGGACUAGACGUUGGAGGGGUAAGCCUUUCAGUGUCGUAGCUAACGCGCUAAGUCCUCCGCCUGGGGAGUACGGCCGCAAGGUUG
rnacentral:rRNA from 1 species